GACGAACGCUGGCGGCGUGCCUAAUACAUGCAAGUCGAGCGGAACUUGAAAGCUUGCUUUCUAAGUUUAGCGGCGGACGGGUGAGUAACACGUGGGCAACCUGCCUAUAAGACUGGGAUAACUUCGGGAAACCGAGCUAAUACCGGAUAAUAUAAAAGAUCACAUGGUCUUUUAUUGAAAGAUGGCUUCGGCUAUCACUUAUAGAUGGGCCCGCGGCGCAUUAGCUAGUUGGUGAGGUAAUGGCUCACCAAGGCGACGAUGCGUAGCCGACCUGAGGGGGUGAUCGGCCACACUGGGACUGAGACACGGCCCAGACUCCUACGGGAGGCAGCAGUAGGGAAUCUUCCGCAAUGGACGAAAGUCUGACGGAGCAACGCCGCGUGAGCGAUGAAGGCCUUCGGGUCGUAAAGCUCUGUUGUUAGGGAAGAACAAGUAUCGUUCGAAUAGGGCGGUACCUUGACGGUACCUAACCAGAAAGCCACGGCUAACUACGUG
rnacentral:rRNA from 1 species